CCCUUAGAUGUUCUGGGCCGCACGCGCGUUACACUGAUGCAUUCAACGAGUGUACCUUGGCCGAGAGGCCUGGGCAAUCUUUUGAACGUGCAUCGUGAUAGGGAUAGAUUAUUGCAAUUAUUAAUCUUGAACGAGGAAUUCCUAGUAAACGCAGAUCAUCAAUCUGCAUUGAUUACGUCCCUGCCCUUUGUACACACCGCCCGUCGCACCUACCGAUUGGAUGGUCCGGUGAAGCCUCGGGAUUGUGGCGGUUGCCUUUAUUGGUGGCCGCCGCGAGAACUUGUCUAAACCUUAUCAUCUAGAGGAAGGUGAANUCGUAACA
rnacentral:rRNA from 1 species